rnacentral:rRNA from 1 species
CCUACGGGAGGCAGCAGUAAGGAAUAUUGGUCAAUGGACGCAAGUCUGAACCAGCCAUGCCGCGUGAAGGAUGAAGGCCCUCUGGGUUGUAAACUUCUUUUACAGGGGACGAAAAACGGGCAUUCUUGCUCACUUGACGGUACCCUGGGAAUAAGCACCGGCUAACUCCGUGCCAGCAGCCGCGGUAAUACGGAGGGUGCAAGCGUUAUCCGGAUUCACUGGGUUUAAAGGGUGCGUAGGUGGGUCUGUAAGUCAGUGGUGAAAUCUCCGAGCUUAACUCGGAAACUGCCAUUGAUACUAUAGGUCUUGAAUUUUCUGGAGGACAGCGGAAUAUGUCAUGUAGCGGUGAAAUGCUUAGAUAUGACAUAGAACACCGAUUGCGAAGGCAGCUGUCUACGGGGAUAUUGACACUGAGGCACGAAAGCGUGGGGAUCAAACAGGAUUAGAUACCCUGGUAGUCCACGCCCUAAACGAUGGAUACUCGACAUUUGUGAUACACAAUAAGUGUCUGAGCGAAAGCAUUAAGUAUCCCACCUGGAAGUACGACCGCAAGGUUGAAACUCAAAUGAAUUGACGG